rnacentral:rRNA from 1 species
UGGCGGCGUGCUUAACACAUGCAAGUCGAACGGGAAUUAUUUUAUUGAAACUUCGGUCGAUUUAAUUUAAUUCUAGGGGCGGACGGGUGAGUAACGCGUGGGUAACCUACCUUAUACAGGGGGGAUAACAGUCAGAAAUGACUGCUAAUACCGCAUAAGCGCACAGGACCGCAUGGUCCGGUGUGAAAAACUCCGGUGGUAUAAGAUGGACCCGCGUUGGAUUAGCUAGUUGGUGAGGUAACGGCCCACCAAGGCGACGAUCCAUAGCCGGCCUGAGAGGGUGAACGGCCACAUUGGGACUGAGACACGGCCCAGACUCCUACGGGAGGCAGCAGUGGGGAAUAUUGCACAAUGGGGGAAACCCUGAUGCAGCGACGCCGCGUGAAGGAAGAAGUAUCUCGGUAUGUAAACUUCUAUCAGCAGGGAAGAAAAUGACGGUACCUGACUAAGAAGCCCCGGCUAACUACGUGCCAGCAGCCGCGGUAAUACGUAGGGGGCAAGCGUUAUCCGGAUUUACUGGGUGUAAAGGGAGCGUAGACGGAUGGACAAGUCUGAUGUGAAAGGCUGGGGCUCAACCCCGGGACUGCAUUGGAAACUGCCCGUCUUGAGUGCCGGAGAGGUAAGCGGAAUUCCUAGUGUAGCGGUGAAAUGCGUAGAUAUUAGGAGGAACACCAGUGGCGAAGGCGGCUUACUGGACGGUAACUGACGUUGAGGCUCGAAAGCGUGGGGAGCAAUCAGGAUUAGAUACCCUGGUAGUCCACGCGGUAAACGAU